rnacentral:rRNA from 1 species
GGCUUAUCUCCCCCAAGAGUCCACAUCGACGGGGAGGUUUGGCACCUCGAUGUCGGCUCAUCGCAUCCUGGGGCUGUAGUCGGUCCCAAGGGUUGGGCUGUUCGCCCAUUAAAGCGGUACGCGAGCUGGGUUCAGAACGUCGUGAGACAGUUCGGUCCCUAUCCGUCGUGGGCGCAGGAAAUUUGAGAGGAGCUGUCCUUAGUACGAGAGGACCGGGAUGGACGCACCGCUGGUGUACCAGUUGUCUUGCCAAAGGCAUCGCUGGGUAGCUAUGUGUGGAAGGGAUAAGUGCUGAAAGCAUCUAAGCAUGAAGCCCCCCUCGAGAUGAGAUUUCCCAUCACGUAUGUGAGUAAGAUCCCUAGAAGAUGACUAGGUAGAUAGGUCAGAGAUGGAAGCAUGGCGACAUGUGGAGUUGACUGAUACUAAUCGAUCGAGGACUUAACCACAA